UACGUAGGGCGCAAGCGUUGUCCGGAAUUAUUGGGCGUAAAGAGCUCGUAGGCGGCCUGUUGCGUCCGCUGUGAAAUCCCGGGGCUCAACCCCGGGCCUGCAGUGGAUACGGGCUGGCUAGAGGCAGGCAGGGGAGAACGGAAUUCCUGGUGUAGCGGUGAAAUGCGCAGAUAUCAGGAGGAACACCGGUGGCGAAGGCGGUUCUCUGGGCCUUACCUGACACUGAGGAGCGAAAGCGUGGGGAGCGAACAGG
rnacentral:rRNA from 1 species